GAUGAACGCUGGCGGCGUGCCUAACACAUGCAAGUCGAGCGAUUUACUUCGGUAAAGAGCGGCGGACGGGUGAGUAACGCGUGGGUAACCUGCCUCAUACACAUGGAUAACAUACCGAAAGGUAUGCUAAUACAAGAUGAUAUAAGAGAUUCGCAUGGAUUUCUUAUCAAAGCUCCGGCGGUAUGAGAUGGACCCGCGUCUGAUUAGCUAGUUGGUAAGGUAACGGCUUACCAAGGCGACGAUCAGUAGCCGACCUGAGAGGGUGAUCGGCCACAUUGGAACUGAGACACGGUCCAAACUCCUACGGGAGGCAGCAGUGGGGAAUAUUGCACAAUGGGCGAAAGCCUGAUGCAGCAACGCCGCGUGAGCGAUGAAGGCCUUCGGGUCGUAAAGCUCUGUCCUCAAGGAAGAUAAUGACGGUACUUGAGGAGGAAGCCCUGGCUAACUACGUGCCAGCCGCCGCGGUAACAC
rnacentral:rRNA from 1 species